ensembl:lncRNA
GCGAACAAAAUUUGAUGAGUCGCCCAGCCCUACAGCAAAACAAAUUGAUAUAAAUAGAUGAGAGGCUAAUACAGCCUCAUAAACAUGUCUCCCCUCCACCCGCUGGAAGCUGUCUCCAGACCAGUCGCCUUCGUUGAUCACGCUCUCGCUCAUACCUCCUCAGGACCUCAGUGUGAGGAGCUCGUCAUCAUCCUCCUCAUCAUCAUCAUCUUCAUCCUCCCUGAACACCUUUCUUGAGAAUUGCUGUUCAUUUUCUUUUCGUUCUUAAGUAACUCAUGUUCAUGUACUACGGCCUCAUCUGUUUAGAGGCUUGGUGUUGAGAUGGUGCUACAGGCUACAGUGAGGCUUGAUAGAGGCUACAGUGAGACUGGAUAGAGGCUACAGUGAGAAUGAUAGAGGCUACAGUGAGACUGGAUAGAGGCUACAGUGAGACUGGAUAGAGGCUACAGUGAGGCUUGAUAGAGGCUACAGUGAGACUGGAUAGAGGCUACAGUGAGAAUGAUAGAGGCUACAGUGAGAAUGAUAGAGGCUACAGUGAGACUGGAUAGAGGCUACAGUGAGAAUGAUAGAGGCUACAGUGAGACUGGAUAGAGGCUACAGUGAGACUGGAUAGAGGCUACAGUGAGGCUUGAUAGAGGCUACAGUGAGACUGGAUAGAGGCUACAGUGAGACUGGAUAGAGGCUACAGUGAGAAUGAUAGAGGCUACAGUAAGACUGGAUAGAGGCUACAGUGAGACUGGAUAGAGGCUACAGUGAGGCUUGAUAUAGGCUACAGUGAGACUAGAUAGAGGCUACAGUGAGACUGGAUAGAGGAUACAGUGAGGCUUGAUAGAGGCUACAGUGAGGCUUGAUAGAGGCUACAGUGAGGCUUGAUAGAGGCUACAGUGAGACUUGAAAGAGGCUACAGUGAGGCUUGAUAGAGGCUACAGUGAGACCGGAUAGAGGCUACAGUGAGGCUUGAUAGAGGCUACAGUAAGGCUACAGUUAGGCUUGAUAGAGGCUACAGUGAGACUGGAUAGAGGCUACAGUGAGGCUUGAUAGAGGCUACAGUAAGGCUACAGUUAGGCUUGAUAGAGGCUACAGUGAGACUGGAUAGAGGCUACAGUGAGGCUUGAUAGAGGCUACAGUGAGGAUACAGUGAGGCUUGAUAGAGGCUACAGUGAGAUUUGAUAGAGGCUUGAUUGAGGCUACAGUAAGACUGGAUAGAGGCUACAGUAGGUGCGUUUCCAUCCCCCUAAUUUAAUGUGAACUUUGAAGUAUCGAAUCAGUAAACGGUGAUGGAAACACCAAAAUUCGCAUCAAAAUCCUCUAAUUCGCAAAAAAGUUUAUCCGCUCGCUUGAGGUGGUUUUUGAGAAAUGCGAAACUGAGUAAAUUCGCAAAAUGGGAGAUGGAAACACAUUUUGCGAAUCAGCUGUGACGUAGCGAACUUUGAACACACAGGACUGACAGUCUAUCCGAUUUCUGUAUAACGACCGGCCAUAGCAACCCUGCCGACAUCAACGUGUAACGUCAUCGCCCUAUUCCGCUCCAACCACUUGAUGGAAACGCACCUAAUUCAAAUUACUUUAUUGCGAACUUUCUAAAGAUUCACAUCACCUUUUUAGAUGGAAACGCAGCUAGUGUGGCUUGAUUGAGGUUUCGGUGAGACUGGAUCGAGGCUACAGUGAGGCUUGAUACAGUGAGGCUAUGGUGAGUCUGGUUAGAGGCGGUAGACUGGAGGGCUAGUCAGUGGUCAAGUGAACAGUAGCUAAAACAAUGGUGAGUGGAGCUAGGGUCGCUGGGUGCACCACACCGCAAGCUACAAGGAGUAAACUGUUCUGUCAGAACACACACACACACACACACACACACACACACACACACACACACACACACACACACACACACACACACACACACACACACACACACACACACACACACACACACACACACACCACCACCACCGCAUGGAAUGGUUGUGUGCGGUUGGAGUUGCUGGUAUCUGUGAUUACUGAGUAGCUAUUCUGGUCCGACAAACGGGAUCCAUCUGCCUGUUGCUCCCUUACCGGCGGCCAGACUCAAUAACCGCUCACCAGGGCAUACUGUAGCACCGUACGGCCCCUCAGAUGACAUCAUACUUCUGGUGGGGGCUUACAUCACUUCCUGCUGUUCGUCUGAUGAAGUUCAAAUGGUGCUUUGUUGGUUUUGGAGGGAAAAUCGAUUGUAUUAUUUUCAGGGAAUCUUCCCUUUGAGAUGUUUCAGGGUAAAGGCAGUUAGGUUAUUGGAUAUUGGCAGAUCUUUCACAGUAAAAGUCUCUCAGUAAGACAUGCAGAUAUUUCACAGUAAAAGUCUCUCAGUUAGACAUUGCAGAUAGUUCACAGUAAAACCAUGUCGGUUAGACAUUGGCAAUUGUUGCCCAUCA